rnacentral:rRNA from 1 species
GAAUUAUUGGGCGUAAAGCGCGCGCAGGUGGUUUCUUAAGUCUGAUGUGAAAGCCCACGGCUCAACCGUGGAGGGUCAUUGGAAACUGGGGAACUUGAGUGCAGAAGAGGAAAGUGGAAUUCCAAGUGUAGCGGUGAAAUGCGUAGAGAUUUGGAGGAACACCAGUGGCGAAGGCGACUUUCUGGUCUGUAACUGACACUGAGGCGCGAAAGCGUGGGGAGCGAACAGGAUUAGAUACCCUGGUAGUCCACGCCGUAAACGAUGAGUGCUAAGUGUUAGAGGGUUUCCGCCCUUUAGUGCUGCAGCAAACGCAUUAAGCACUCCGCCUGGGGAGUACGGUCGCAAGACUGAAACUCAAAGGAAUUGACGGGGGCCCGCACAAGCGGUGGAGCAUGUGGUUUAAUUCGAAGCAACGCGAAGAACCUUACCAGGUCUUGACAUCCCACUGCCCGGUAUAGAGAUAUACCUUUCCCUUCGGGGACAGUGGUGACAGGUGGUGCAUGGUUGUCGUCAGCUCGUGUCGUGAGAUGUUGGGUUAAGUCCCGCAACGAGCGCAACCCUUGAUCUUAGUUGCCAGCAUUCAGUUGGGCACUCUAAGAUGACUGCCGGUGACAAACCGGAGGAAGGUGGGGAUGACGUCAAAUCAUCAUGCCCCUUAUGACCUGGGCUACACACGUGCUACAAUGGAUGGUACAAAGGGCUGCGAGACUGCGAAGUUAAGCGAAUCCCAUAAAACCAUUCUCAGUUCGGAUUGCAGGCUGCAACUCGCCUGCAUGAAGCUGGAAUCGCUAGUAAUCGC